AUUUGAAAAUCAACACAACUGUUCCUGAAGCCUUGAAUCCUGAUCAAGCUCUGCUACAAGCUCUUCACAACUCUACAAUUUGUGGACAGGUCUCAGCUGAGAUGCCAGACGAAGACAAACCACCUGAUUCUGGACAGCAGCAGAUUGGCCUGAUGUUGCUGGCAGAAGAUCACGGUCUUACGUAAACAGGGAUUCUGGAGACGAUCCCAGUGUUUCGGGCCAUAAGCAAGCAAAGACCCUGGACACAGAGCCAGUCCAUCACAGGAUACAUUACAUUACAGAGAGGAAGCCGGCUUUCUUUCUCUUCAUGUCCUGCUUUGCUUUAGCUAAUUUUCUUCCAUGCAGGCCAAAAAUGUUUUCAGAGUAAUUUAAGUAAUGUUUGGAACAACAAUAAUAGUUGAUCAUUACAACAGUUGACAAAAUUACUUUUUGAAAGGUUCUGUGUAUUACUCGUAAUUGUCUCUAUCCUCUUUCUUCUCACCUCAGUGUCUAUCAAAUCAUUCCACAAGAUCCUCCUUAUUCUUUUCUUCCUUCUUCAGAAGUCCACUGGAGGAACGUGGCAGUUUCAGCAGCUGUUACUUCCAUCAGGACCAACACAAACUACUGAAAACAAAUUGAAAACAACACAAACUAUUUUUGUUGUUUUUAGGGGUCAAGAAUAUACAUACACACCUUAAAAUAAAUAUAUAUAAAAACUGUUUAUUCAUUUAUUUUAUGAUGAGAGAAAAAUAAAAAAUAUGUGCAGCAGUCAAAUGGCAUUAAUGAUUAAAAAUCACUAUAUAAAUAUUGCCAUAUAAAUAUAAAUCAAUAUCAAUCUUGCUAAACUUCUUUUCAGCCUCUCCAUGUUUAUUGUUUAAAAAUU
ensembl:lncRNA